rnacentral:rRNA from 1 species
GACGAACGCUGGCGGCGCGCCUAACACAUGCAAGUCGAACGGAGCUGAGAGAAGCUUGCUUUUCUUAGCUUAGUGGCGAACGGGUGAGUAACGCGUGAGUAACCUGCCCUGGAGUGGGGGACAACAGUUGGAAACGACUGCUAAUACCGCAUAAGCCCACGAUCCGGCAUCGGAUUGAGGGAAAAGGAUUUAUUCGCUUCAGGAUGGACUCGCGUCCAAUUAGCUAGUUGGUGAGGUAACGGCCCACCAAGGCGACGAUUGGUAGCCGGACUGAGAGGUUGAACGGCCACAUUGGGACUGAGACACGGCCCAGACUCCUACGGGAGGCAGCAGUGGGGGAUAUUGCACAAUGGGGGAAACCCUGAUGCAGCGACGCCGCGUGGAGGAAGAAGGUUUUCGGAUUGUAAACUCCUGUCGUUAGGGACGAUAAUGACGUUACCUAACAAGAAAGCACCGGCUAACUACGUG